CCCCAAGACGCCUGCUCAGGCGCUGGCCUUUUAAGCCAGAGGAAGGGCUGCCUAUAGCUGCCCCUUGAGGC
rnacentral:tRNA from 1 species